rnacentral:rRNA from 1 species
UACGUAGGUGGCAAGCGUUGUCCGGAUUUACUGGGCGUAAAGAGCGCGCAGGCGGUCGUUUAAGUCGAAUGUGAAAGCCCCCGGCUCAACUGGGGAGGGUCAUUCGAUACUGAUCGACUUGAAGGCAGGAGAGGGUAGUGGAAUUCCCGGUGUAGUGGUGAAAUGCGUAGAUAUCGGGAGGAACACCAGUGGCGAAGGCGACUACCUGGCCUGUUCUUGACGCUGAGGCGCGAAAGCUAGGGGAGCAAACGGG